rnacentral:rRNA from 1 species
GACGAACCGUGCAACCGUUAUUCGGAAUCACUGGGCAUAAAGGGCGCGUAGGCGGCUCCACAAGUCAGGGGUGAAAUCCGGCAGCUUAACUGUCGCAGUGCCUUUGAUACUGUGGAGCUAGAGGGAGGUAGGGGUCUGUGGAACUUCCGGUGGAGCGGUGAAAUGCGUUGAUAUCGGAAGGAACGCCGGUGGCGAAAGCGACGGACUGGAUCUCUUCUGACGCUGAGGCGCGAAAGCCAGGGGAGCAAACGGG